GACAAAGAGGAGAGCUAACACAAGCACACCCGGAGAGAGGCCGGCUGAGCUGAGUCCAGAGCAUUUUCUCUGUCUUCUGGAAGAACGGCAGAAGACCGAAGAAGAAUUGAUGUGGUGCUGGUGAAGAAUAUCGACAGGGCCAUGGACCAGCCAAAAGAACAAACAGGUCUGCCUUGGAAGAAGUUCCCCGAGAAUGCGCCUCAGGGGCAAGGAUGGUGAGACGCCAUCUCCCGUACGUUGGCCGUGUUGACAGGAGGAAGCAGGCCCUGGGGAAGGGCAUCAUGCUUGGUCAAGUGGAGAGGCAGCCCCAAACAGGAAGGUCCUCCACAAGACGGGCUGACACAGCGGCUGCAACAAUGGGCUCAAGCCUGGGAACACUUGGGAGGUUGCAGAUUUGAUUUGAGCCAAAGGGAGAUUUGAUGUGCCCUUGAUGUGAGGAUGGAGAAGGCCGUGGAGAACGGACUUCAGACAGCUGCUCCAGGACCCUGGCCUGAGCCUGCAAGGGAGGGGAACCUCAGUCCUGCAGUGGAGGAAGUGGGUUCUGCCACAACCCGGAUGCACUUGGCCGAGAACGCUUCCCCAGAGCUUGCGGGAGGGAAGAAGAGACUGAUUCUGGUGCUGUGUGUGAGACCCUAAAACAGGAAACCGGGUGGAGCCUACCUGGAGCGGAAAGGAAAGAAUUGGUUUACAUCACAAUUUACUCAGUUGACUCAGCCAUCCACAGGACAGGGUAGAACUGCCCCUGUGAAUUUCUGCAGACGGCAUGACUUAGGGGCUCAGUGUGGAGAUGACCCUGCGGCGAAGCCCCUCCAGCAGGCUGACCGGGAGGUUUCCCCCGCCUGCAUGGCCACCAACACACCCCAGGCUGCUGGCUGGGGCCAAGGACAUUUUGGCUUCCCAGAGCGGAGGAAGGGGGCCUGCAUCACACAGCCCCUGCGCUGUGGACAGCAACAGGAGUGGCGCCCUGAUGGCCACCACCUCCCACUUCCUCACAGAUGACCGAUCUGACCUCUGUUCCAGCAGGAGGCCGGAGCUGGGGUCCCAGGCUCCUGAAUGGGUCCCAGGAAGAAGCACCCGGUGGCUGGUUGGGAGGGGCGUUUCUGAAUUUCCUAUUUGUCUCCCUAAGGGUUUGCUGGGUUACUUGGCCAGGUGUCCCCUGGGAGUCCAGCGUGGAUGUGAGGAACACGGCUCUGUUUCUGCUUUAUUGAUUAAAGAACCCCAACUUUCCUCCGUU